GACGAACGCUGGCGGCGUGCUUAACACAUGCAAGUCGAACGGUAAGGCCUUCGGGUACACGAGUGGCGAGCGGGUGAGUAACACGUGGGUGAUCUGCCCCCUACUCUGGGAUAAGCCUGGGAAACUGGGUCUAAUACCGGAUAUGACCAACUUCUGCAUGGUUGUUGGUGGAAAGUUUUUUCGGGAGGGGAUGAGCCCGCGGCCUAUCAGCUUGUUGGUGGGGUAACGGCCCACCAAGGCGACGAUCCGUAGCUGGUCUGAGAGGAUGAUCCGCCACACUGGGACGGAGACACGGCCCAGACUCCUACGGGAGGCAGCAGUGGGGAAUAUUGGACAAUGGGCGAAAUCCUGAUCCAGCAAUGCCGCGUGAGUGAUGAAGGCCUUAGGGUUGUAAACCUCUUUCGAUGGGGAAGAAAACCUGCACUAACACUGCAGACUGACGGUACCCAGAGAAGAAGCUACGGCCAACUCUGUGCCAGCAGCCGCGGUAAAAC
rnacentral:rRNA from 1 species